rnacentral:ncRNA from 1 species
AAAAUAAGUGCUAUAAAAAAUAGCCGACAUAUUUUGCUUUCCGAGUAGUGCCUUGUUUCGGAAGGCACUUUUUUUGUUUC